rnacentral:tRNA from 1 species
CAGGGUGUAGCCAAACUAGUAAAGCACCUCCCUUACACUGAGAAGUUAUCCGUGCAAAUCGGAUCGCCCUGA